UCCGUUAUGGUGUAGUGGCUAACAUUAUCGCCUCUCAUUGAUUGUAGUCAAGCUGGAGCGCGAUAGCCCAGGGUUCGAUUCCCUGUAAAGGAA